UGGGGAAUUUUGGACAAUGGGGGCAACCCUGAUCCAGCAAUGCCGCGUGAGUGAAGAAGGCCUUCGGGUUGUAAAGCUCUUUUGUCAGGGAAGAAACAGCAGCUCUAACACAGUCUGCGAAUGACGGUACCUGAAGAAUAAGCACCGGCUAACUACGUGCCAGCAGCCGCGGUAAUACAGAGGGGGCAAGCGUUAUUCGGAAUUAUUGGGCGUAAAGGGCGCGUAGGCGGUUUUUUAAGUCAGAUGUGCAAUCCCCGAGCUCAACUUGGGAACUGCAUCUGAGACUGGAAGGCUAGAGUACUGGAGAGGGUGGUGGAAUUCCUCGUGUAGCAGUGAAAUGCGUAGAGAUGUGGAGGAAUACCAAUGGCGAAGGCAGCCCCCUGGACUAAUACUGACGCUCAUGCACGAAAGCGUGGGGAGCAAACAGG
rnacentral:rRNA from 1 species